AUACUUUUCUCCUGCACGUAC
rnacentral:siRNA from 1 species